rnacentral:rRNA from 1 species
ACGCUCGACACCUACGGGAGGCAGCAGUGGGAAAUAUUGCACAAUGGGCGAAAGCCUGAUGCAGCAACGCCGCGUGAGCGAAGAAGGCCUUCGGGUCGUAAAGCUCUGUCCUCAAGGAGGAUAAUGACGGUACUUGAGGAGGAAGUCCCGGCUAACUACGUGCCAACAGCCGCGGUAAUCUGAGCGGGCUGGCAAGGC